rnacentral:piRNA from 1 species
UGUUGGUUGGUUGUUAUCUGAUCUCAUGG